CGGGCGACGUACCGGUCUAAGUCCCUUGGAACGGGGCGUCACAGAGGGUGAGAAUCCCGUAUGUGACCGGUGGCCGAGCCCAUGUGAAACCCCUUCGACGAGUCGAGUUGUUUGGGAAUGCAGCUCAAAACGGGUGGUAAAUUUCAUCUAAAGCUAAAUACCGGCCAGAGACCGAUAGCGCACAAGUAGAGUGAUCGAAAGAUGAAAAGCACUUUGGAAAGAGAGUCAAAAAGUACGUGAAAUUGUUGAAAGGGAAGCGCUUGCGACCAGACCUGCCCGCGGGCGAUCAGCCGUCCUUCUGGGCGGUGCACUCGUCCGCGAUCAGGCCAGCAUCGGUUCGGGCGGCCGGAUAAAGGCUCGGGGAACGUAGCUCCCUUCGAGGAGUGUUAUAGCCCCGGGUGCCAUGCGGCCCGCCGGGACCGAGGACCGCGCUUCGGCUAGGAUGCUGGCGUAAUGGUCGUAAGCGGCCCGUCUUGAAACACGGACCAAGGAGUCGACCAACUAUGCGAGUGUUUGGGCGUCAAACCCACACGCGCAAUGAAAGUGAACGGAGGUGGGAACCCCUCGCGGGGCGCACCAUCGACCGAUCCAGAUGUCUUCGGAUGGAUUUGAGUACGAGCAUAGCUGGUCGGACCCGAAAGAUGGUGAACUAUGCCUGAAUAGGGUGAAGCCAGAGGAAACUCUGGUGGAGGCUCGCAGCGGUUCUGACGUGCAAAUCGAUCGUCAAAUUUGGGCAUAGGGGCGAAAGACUAAUCGAACCGUC
rnacentral:rRNA from 1 species